CUGCCUUAAUAGACUGAGUAUUAAUUAUCUGAAAAGUUGCAACUUAAUCAGGAAUCCCGAGUGAUAUCUCACUGUAGUUGUUUUAGAAAUUGGAGCUUGCUGUGUGCUGAAAAUGAAGAAUUUCCAUUAGUUCCUCUACACUAUGUGACAUUAAAAAGAAGUGAUACAGGAUGGUCCAAUAUCCAGUUAGGAGAACAGAACAAACUGAUGUCUACAGGAACGCAGUACAAGCAGGCCUGUCAAAUAAAAGGGCAACAGCAUUACCAGCUCAUCAUAUAGGAGGAGGCCUGUUGGAGUCCUGUGUCCAGCUUAGGGCUCACAGCUCAAGGGAGAUAAUGACAAACUGUAAUGACAUAGAAUGCUAAAGAAGAGGAACAUGAAAUGAUG